GAAAACUUCAUUUUGCAAAGUCAUCCUGUAAUACCGAUGGCAAAAAUGGUGUGUAUAUCAGGAGCAAGAAGAGCUAAUUCAUCCCUGUUCUGACCCAUUUCUAUGUGAAAAAUUUACACGUUUUUGGAACAGCUUGAUAUAUCUCAUGGCUAUCUAACAUAUGUUGUGUUCCUGUCCUUCCCUCUUAUUUCUUUUCUUCAGAAUCAAACUCACAUAUGUCAACGUUGUAUUCUCUCAAUAUAAUGUUCUCUGAGAGAAAGCAUUCUUGCUUUUGCUUUUGUUAAGAUCAUUUUGUGCCAUCUUUACCACAACUUUUAAAAUAUGUUGGCGUCUGUCAUUUGUCUGUCUCUUUUAUUUGUCUGUUAUGCUUCAUACUUGAUCAAAGAGUCACUAAACUCUGUGUGUUGACCAACAGGACCAAAACGAAGACCACAAUAAGUUUUUGGAGCUGAUCAAUCAAUUACAUUGAGUAACUCCUGAACAAACAAGAUUUGUAUAGUUUUUGCUAGAGAUAUUUCAUUUUGGAGAAAGAAGACUUUUGGAGCUAUUGAAGACCCAAUUCUCCCUGGUUUACUCUGGCACAGCAUCUUUGACUCAAAAUGUGCCUGGAUUCGGUGUGUGACAGUGUGGGAAAUGGAUAGAGAGAGUGUAACAGAAAAUGAAAUGCUUGGCAAAGCUAGAAACAGCAAGAGAAAAAUAAAAUAAAAUUCUUGGACAAGCA
rnacentral:lncRNA from 11 species